rnacentral:rRNA from 1 species
GACGAACGUUGGCGGCGUGCUUAACACAUGCAAGUCGAACGGAAAGGCCCCUUUGGGGGUACUCGAGUGGCGAACGGGUGAGUAACACGUGAGUAACCUGCCCUUGACUUCGGGAUAACUUCAGGUAACUGGGGCUAAUACCGGAUAGGAAUCCUUGCUGCAUGGUGGGGGUUGGAAAGCUUCGGCGGUUUUGGAUGGACUCGCGGCUUAUCAGCUUGUUGGUGGGGUAGUGGCUUACCAAGGCUUUGACGGGUAGCCGGCCUGAGAGGGCGACCGGCCACAUUGGGACUGAGAUACGGCCCAGACUCCUACGGGAGGCAGCAGUGGGGAAUAUUGCACAAUGGGCGGAAGCCUGAUGCAGCAACGCCGCGUGCGGGAUGACGGCCUUCGGGUUGUAAACCGCUUUCAGCAGGGGCGAAGCUUGUGGUGACGGUACCUGCAGAAGAAGCACCGGCUAACUACGUG